ensembl:snoRNA
UGGAAAGGGAUGGAUUCUCCUUAGCCUGAAUGUUCCUUGAAGGUUUCAUGUAUUCAUACUGUCUGAUCCCA